rnacentral:piRNA from 1 species
UGAAUGGAGUCGCUUUCUGCCUGGUC